UACGUAGGGGGCAAGCGUUGUCCGGAUUUAUUGGGCGUAAAGAGCGUGUAGGCGGCCAUACAGGUCAGCUGUGAAAACUCGAGGCUCAACCUCGAGACGUCGGUUGAAACCGUAUGGCUAGAGUCCGGAAGAGGAGAGCGGAAUUCCACGUGUAGCGGUGAAAUGCGUAGAGAUGUGGAGGAACACCAGUGGCGAAGGCGGCUCUUUGGUCUGUAACUGACGCUGAGGCGCGAAAGCGUGGGGAGCGAACAGG
rnacentral:rRNA from 1 species